ACUUUGAUGGAUGUUCCGUAGGUGAACCUGCGGAAGGAUCAUUAUCAGACAGAUAGGGUCUAUCUAGGCCCGACCUCUAACCCCCUGUCUACUCCUCCAUUGUUGCUUUGGCGGUGCGUGUGGUGCUUACCGUACGCGUUACGGCUAAGAACCGCCAGCAGCCCGGUGUACGCCCGGCCGCCGAGUCACCGUCAGGGGGCCGUCCCUUAAAUUCUCCGCACGAGCUAGCUGUCUGAGGAGGCUCGAGAAGAGCAUUCUAAAUAAUCGCCUCGAAAAACUUUCAACAACGGAUCUCUUGGUUCUGGCAUCGAUGAAGAACGCAGCGAAAUGCGAUAAGUAAUGUGAAUUGCAGAAUUCAGCGAAUCGUCGAAUCUUUGAACGCAUCUUGCGCCCUCCGGUAUUCCGGUGGGCAUGCCUGUUCGAGCGUCGUUAAGAUCAUCGAGCACCGCUCGGUAUUGGGUCUGACGUCCCUGCAAUCGCUGAGGGAUGUACCCUAAAUCCCCCUGGCGACGUCCCGUGGCCGUAGGCGUAGCGGAAUCUCGAUCUUUAUCGCGUCUACGAGGCGCGCGGGGUCGUCCAGCCCCCUUGAAUACAACGUUAGAACCUCACCAUUGACCUCGGAUCAGGUAGGGGUACCCGCUGAACUUAAGCAUAUCAU
rnacentral:rRNA from 1 species